rnacentral:rRNA from 1 species
GAUGAACGCUGGCGGCGUGCCUAAUACAUGCAAGUCGAGCGAACAGACGAGGAGCUUGCUCCUCUGACGUUAGCGGCGGACGGGUGAGUAACACGUGGAUAACCUACCUAUAAGACUGGGAUAACUUCGGGAAACCGGAGCUAAUACCGGAUAAUAUAUUGAACCGCAUGGUUCAAUAGUGAAAGACGGUUUUGCUGUCACUUAUAGAUGGAUCCGCGCCGCAUUAGCUAGUUGGUAAGGUAACGGCUUACCAAGGCAACGAUGCGUAGCCGACCUGAGAGAGUGAUCGGCCACACUGGAACUGAGACACGGUCCAGACUCCUACGGGAGGCAGCAGUAGGUAAUCUUCCGCAAUGGGCGAAAGCCUGACGGAGCAACGCCGCGUGAGUGAUGAAGGUCUUCGGAUCGUAAAACUCUGUUAUUAGGGAAGAACAAAUGUGUAAGUACCUAUGCACGUCUUGACGGUACCUAAUCAGAAAGCCACGGCUAACUACGUG